rnacentral:lncRNA from 1 species
CGAUUACUUUCAAACGACUCCAACAGGUUACUCCCUUGGAUACCCUACCCUGCCUAAAGAUUUAUAUUUCCACUGCAGUGUGGACGACAGAAAACUUGGGAAUACCUUUCAAAUGGAAAUCACUGUCAUGGGGAUUACCCAGCCAUCUACAAUAAAAGAACGCUUGCCGAACUGAUAGAGAAAUGCUGCAGUCAAAUCAUGCUCAGUACUGAAUU